AUCUUUUUAUUUCAUAGUUUCUUUGUUUACUUUUCUGUUAAUAAAUUAAUAGUAUAUUAUUAUUAAUAUUAAGUUUGUUAUUGUAUUUAUUUUUACUUUUUGUCAAUUAAAAUGAGGUAUAAUAUUUAUCUUUAGGCAAUGAAGUGAUUAAUACCUGUGUUUGGCACUCUACAAAAUGCAGAAAAUUCUAUUAUUAAAUAUGAGACAAAUAUCCUCAAAAUUUUCAAUGUUUAAAAAAGAUAAAACUUUUAGCGUAAAGGUACUUUUCAAGUGUUCUUACUGGAGGUAAAACAAGUGGACCAAAGACUGAGUUAUUUGAAAGGCUAAAGUGUAAUUGGAAGUCGAUUCUUGAAAAGAAGAUAAAUUAUGAUAAUCUAAAGAGAUUUGACUCAGAAAAAAAAAUUAAAUCUUUUUUGGAAAAGCAGGCUUCUGAAUUAUUAACAUUCCUUCAAAAUUGCCUCGAUAAUGAUAUAUUUCCAAGAAAUGACUACAAGUAUUUUAUACAGUUAGCAGUGGCAAACUUUAGAUUUCACUUUAGAUUUCCAAUGGCUUCACAUCAUGCCAGGUUUAUGGCACAGGGCGUUUAUUAUUUAACAUACGACAUUCUACAGCCACAAUUUAGUAACUUAUGUCCUGAUAUCAGGCCUUGCGAUGAAUAAGAACUGCGCGACGCAUAAGCACGACGCGAUUUUUGACGUCAUUAAAUUCUUUUUAUUUGCUUUUCAUAUUUAUUGACAUUAACUGCACCAAUUUACUUAAUU
rnacentral:misc_RNA from 1 species